UCAGACUGGUUGGUUUCUCUUUCUGGUCUGGUCUUUUUGGUUUCUUGUUAUUUUCUGCUUUGUGUUGAAAUGUUUCCUCUGUGAAAAUGAUCAAGACGUUUGUGGUUAACUUCCUGAUUUCAGAUAAAUUUCCAUCACAUGUUUAGUGACUCACUGAAAAGGUGUUAAGUUAAAAAGAAAAACCCUGCAAACCUGCUGCUGUUUAUAAAGCAUUCUUCAUAAUGGUGUAUAAAACCUUUUAAAAUUAAUGAACAGCAGUCGUACUGUACAGUAAUUUUAUUUUUAUUUUUUAGGGACUGACCCACAUGCAGUUUAUGCAUCUGUGAAGACAAAUGAGGUUAAAAAUCAUCAGAGAAGCAGAACCAGAGAGUUUCCACCAGGAGCAGAUGUUUCCUAAUCUUCAAUGAGUUCAUCGGUCACAUCCUGGUGACCAGAUUUCAACUCGCGCCUCCACGGCCUUCAAUCUGGCUAAACAAAAAAUGCCUUAAAUAAUCUUUUUUGCAAA